rnacentral:rRNA from 1 species
CCAGUGGUGAACUCCACAUCCGCAUCCUUUGCUGAGGAUACGGUUAACGGAGCGAAAGCGACGUUCAACCGCAAAACAAGCAGAGGGGGCUUAGUGGUGGGGUGACUGCGUACCUUUUGUAUAAUGGGUCAGCGACUUAUAUUCUGUAGCAAGGUUAACCGAAUAGGGGAGCCGGAGGGAAACCGAGUCUUAAUUGGGCGUUAAGUUGCAGGGUAUAGACCCGAAACCCGGUGAUCUAGCCAUGGGCAGGUUGAAGGUUGGGUAACACUAACUGGAGGACCGAACCGACUAAUGUUGAAAAAUUAGCGGAUGACCUGUGGCUGGGGGUGAAAGGCCAAUCAAACCGGGAGAUAGCUGGUUCUCCCCGAAAGCUAUUUAGGUAGCGCCUCGUGAAUUCAUCUCCGGGGGUAGAGCACUGUUUCGGCUAGGGGGCCAUCCCGGCUUACCAACCCGAUGCAAACUGCGAAUACCGGAGAAUGUUAUCACGGGAGACACACGGCGGGUGCUAACGUCCGUCGUGAAGAGGGAAACAACCCAGACCGCCAGCUAAGGUCCCAAAGUCAUGGUUAAGUGGGAAACGAUGUGGGAAGGCCCAGACAGCCAGGAUGUUGGCUUAGAAGCAGCCAUCAUUUAAAGAAAGCGUAAUAGCUCACUGGUCGAGUCGGCCUGCGCGGAAGAUGUAACGGGGCUAAACCAU